rnacentral:rRNA from 1 species
UCGGAGGGAAGAUAUAUAAACCUUUUGGCGGACGGGUGAGUAACGCGUGGGCAACCUGCCCUGUACCGGGGGACAACAGCCAGAAAUGGCUGCUAAUACCGCAUAAGCCUGCUGUGCCGCGUGGCACAGCAGGGAAAACCACGGUGGUACAGGAUGGGCCCGCGUCUGAUUAGUUAGUUGGCAGGGUAACGGCCUACCAAGACAACGAUCAGUAGCCGGCUUGAGAGAGUGGACGGCCACAUUGGGACUGAGACACGGCCCAGACUCCUGCGGGAGGCAGCAGUGGGGAAUAUUGCACAAUGGGGGGAACCCUGAUGCAGCAAUGCCGCGUGGGUGAAGAAGCACUCCGGUGCGUAAAGCCCUGUCAGCAGGGAAGAAAAUGACAGUACCUGGACAAGAAGCCCCGGCUAACUACGUGCCAGCAGCCGCGGUAAUACGUAGGGGGCAAGCGUUAUCCGGAUUUACUGGGUGUAAAGGGAGCGCAGGCGGCGUGGCAAGUCAGAUGUGAAAACCCGGGGCCCAACCCCGGGAGUGCAUUUGAAACUGCCAUGCUGGAGUGCCGGAGAGGUAAGCGGAAUUCCUAGUGUAGCGGUGAAAUGC